rnacentral:pre_miRNA from 1 species
GUUGUACUCCCUCCAUUUGGAAUUACUUGUCACAAAAAUGGAUGUAUCUACAACUAAAACACAUCUAGAUACAUUCAUUUCUUGGACGAGUAAUUCCGAACGGAGGGAGUAUUUA